rnacentral:lncRNA from 1 species
ACCCCUAGAAUAUGACGGAGAUGAUGGGAUGUGUUCCUUCAUUAGAUUUUGCCAAGGUGGAAGCCAUCCUCAUGACCAUCUAAGACCCUGAGAUGUCUAAUCCUUCAAGGUAGCGUAUUGGUGAGAGAGACACUCCCACUGGCCUCAAAGAAGCAAGCUGCAGUCAUAUGAACUCUCCACGGGACAGGUCACCCUGUGGGAAACUGCAGGAGUCCUCAGGGAGCUGAGCACCUGGACCCUACCUGCACAAGGAGCUGGAUUCUGCUGAUGCUCAUAUAAGCUUGAACAAGGACCCUGAAGUUUGGAAAGGACCAUGCCUGGUGUCACCUUGACUGUGCCUCUUGAGACUACAUGCUGAGGACCUAGUCAAGCUGUGCAUGAAUUCUUGACCUAGGAAAACAGUGAGGUACUGGGUGGGUGUGGCUUCCAGCUGCUAAGUAUGGAUUAAUUUGUUGCACAGUGAUACCCUGGCUCCAUCUUUACUUAUUUCAUUUUUAUCUUCAUGCAGGGAAAGGAGAGGAUUUUUCUUAGGGUCCAUAUUCCUGAGAAAUCAGAGAGUGUGGUGCACACAUGCAUCAUAAGCAGACCAGCAGCAGCAAGCAUAGCUGAAAAGGUAGAUGAGUUCUGACAACAAAAGAGGAAGCCAUUGUCAGCUGUCUCUUGAUAUGUUUUCAAAUGCAUAACAUCACAGAGUUGGAAGAUACUGUCGUGCUGACCUUGACAAGGAAUUGCCAACCAGUGGGAAUUAAUUCAUAAAAAGUAAAAAAUUAAGGACUCCUGGAGACAGCUUUUCCCCUCCAUCCCUCCUUCCCUUUGUCCCUCUCAGCCUUUGACCUACUUUUUAAGCAAAGAGUUUUGGGCUGGGGUUGUAUAGCUCAGUGCUAGAGCACUUGUCUAGCACACAUGAGGCCCUGAGUUUGAUCCCCAGCACCAUAUUCACAAACUAAAUAGUUUAUAAUCUACAUUUAAGACAUAAUUAGAUCCCAGACCCAUUCCAGAAAGCCAAUGUGAACAUAUACAGCAACUGCAUUCCCUGA